UGGUAAAGCUUAAAACAGUGCUCACCCACGC
rnacentral:piRNA from 1 species